UGCAAGUCGAACGGAGAAUCAAGAGCUUGCUUUUGAUUCUUAGUGGGGAUGGGGGUUCACGUGAGCAACCUGCCUUUGAGAGAGGGAUAGCUUCGGGAAACGGAUGGUAAUACCUCAUGACAUAAUUGAAGGGCAUCCUUUGAUUAUCAAAGAUUUAUCACUCAAAGAUGGGCUCGCGUCUGAUUAGAUAGUUGGUGAGGUAACGGCCUACCAAAGCGACGAUCAGUAGCCGGCCUGAGAGGGUGAACGGCCACAUUGGGACUGAGACACGGCCCAGACUCCUACGGGAGGCAGCAGUGGGGAAUAUUGCGCAAUGGGGGGAACCCUGACGCAGCAACGCCGCGUGCAGGAAGAAGGCCUUCGGGUUGUAAACUGUUGUCGCAAGGGAAGAAGACAGUGACGGUACCUUGUGAGAAAGUCACGGCUAACUACGUGCCAGCAGCCGCGGUAAUACGUAGGUGACAAGCGUUGUCCGGAUUUACUGGGUGUAAAGGGCGCGUAGGCGGGAUAGCAAGUCAGUCGUGAAAUGCCGGAGCUUAACUCCGGAGCUGCGAUUGAAACUGCCAUUCUUGAGUAUCGGAGAGGAAAGCGGAAUUCCCAGUGUAGCGGUGAAAUGCGUAGAUAUUGGGAGGAACACCAGUGGCGAAGGCGGCUUUCUGGACGACAACUGACGCUGAGGCGCGAAAGUGUGGGGAGCAAACAGGAUUAGAUACCCUGGUAGUCCACACCGUAAACGAUGGAUACUAGGUGUAGGAGGUAUCGACCCCUUCUGUGCCGCAGUUAACACAAUAAGUAUCCCACCUGGGGAGUACGACCGCAAGGUUGAAACUCAAAGGAAUUGACGGGGGCCCGCACAAGCAGUGGAGUAUGUGGUUUAAUUCGAAGCAACGCGAAGAACCUUACCUGGACUUGACAUCCCGCUGACCGUCUUAGAGAUAAGAUUUUCCUUCGGGACAGCGGUGACAGGUGGUGCAUGGUUGUCGUCAGCUCGUGUCGUGAGAUGUGGGUUAAGUCCCGCAACGAGCGCAACCCUUA
rnacentral:rRNA from 1 species